rnacentral:snoRNA from 1 species
CACUUCUCAAUGAGCUCCUUCCUGCCAACAAAUCCGUGGCAGCCUAUGGAUUCGCACGAGAAGGAUAUUAAACUGUUCAGUAGUGGCCAACUCACAAUGGGGCUCCCAUCAGUUGUGAUGAGCCACUGCUGGUCUACAAGU